AUAUGCAAAGUGCUAGAUAGAUACUAGCUAUUAUUAUUAUUAUUAUUUUACAGAUAAGAAAUUAGGGCCCAGAGAGGGCAAGAAGCUAACCCAAAGGGACGCAGCAAGUUACCCUCAAGGUCAAAAUUUGAUACCUGCCUCCAAAUACAGUGUUCUUGCUACAGUAACCUGCCAAGCCCGGAAAACAAGCCAACAGCGAAGGUAAACCAUUCCACCCACUUAGCCAGCAUCAGAAUGAGAUGAAAAGCCUUGCUUGGAGUGAGCUCAGAGCCCCAGUGAGAAAGGCGCUGAGCAGACAGGUGUGGACCUCAGAAAGCCAGGCCUGCUCGGGGAGCCUGCCAUAGAUCGGACAUGUCUCAUCAGGCAGGCCUGCGCGGGCACACACGCCAGCCGUGCAAACACAAACACUUAGACGGGGCCUGGAGCGAUAUUUCAAAGGCCUACCAAAGCUGGAGAACCAGGAAGACACACACAGUUUCAUCGACUGUUUUCUCCUGAACCUUCAUCAGAUACCUGCCACUCAGUCAAGCUGAUCCUGACUGAGGCCCCCAAACCGGCUAAUUCUGCAUCUGGAAAGGCCUCGGAGACACCUCAGCUACCAGUCCCUAGAUGAAAAGAAAAUAAUCAUUGCCCUCAAGAAGCUUACACUCCACCAGGAGGACCCUACACGCAUAGGUUAACAAAUACACCCUAUGUCAAGUGGAGUAAAUAAAAGUAGAGAUGCCAGCCUUGGAGUUCGGGUCCUGCCUCUGACCAUCCGAGCUGUGUGACUUUGGAAGUCAUGGAAACUCUCGGGGUCCCAGGCAACUCUCUAAUACUUCAAGUUAGAAUGGAGUUAGGAGUCUCUCACACCAGUGAAAUCACUGACCCCAAAUGGCUCCACCCCUGCCCAGCAAAGUGUCAAGAGUCCAGACAACUGCAGUAAUCAGAGGAGGCUUCCUAGAGGAGGUUGUCUUGGAUUGGGCUCGAUUGAAUGGAAUUGCAUUGGCUAAGCUGAGCACUUCCCCAUGCAUCUCUGCAGAUCCAGCCUCAGAAGGAGCUCAAAACGGUGGCCAUGGAUGAAGUGUGAUUCCAGGUAGCAUCUGAAAAGCUCAAUGACCAAUAAAAUCCAUGUCUACCUGGGUGAAUAAAGACCC
rnacentral:lncRNA from 1 species